rnacentral:rRNA from 1 species
CCUACGGGUGGCAGCAGUGGGGAAUAUUGCACAAUGGGGGAAACCCUGAUGCAGCGACGCCGCGUGAGUGAAGAAGUAUUUCGGUAUGUAAAGCUCUAUCAGCAGGGAAGAAGAAAGACGGUACCUGACUAAGAAGCCCCGGCUAACUACGUGCCAGCAGCCGCGGUAAUACGUAGGGGGCAAGCGUUAUCCGGAUUUACUGGGUGUAAAGGGAGCGUAGACGGCUGUGCAAGUCUGAAGUGAAAGCCCAGGGCUCAACCCUGGGACUGCUUUGGAGACUGUGGAGCUAGAGUGCUGGAGAGGUAAGUGGAAUUCCUGGUGUAGCGGUGAAAUGCGUAGAUAUGACGAAGAACCCCGAUUGCGAAGGCAGCUUGCUGCAGCGGAACUGACGCUGAUGCUCGAAAGCGCGGGUAUCGAACAGGAUUAGAUACCCUGGUAGUC